AAAAGUUUAUUUUGUGAUAUUUACAACAUGGCCGGAAUAAUUGAUGUACAUACACUGUUUCUGACGUAAAUGAAGACUUCAACUGGAAAAAUUUUGACGCAAGCAGCAAAACUGAACUUCUGCAACAAUUCCGCUCGGAAAAUAAUGGAUGGAGGUUGGAAGACAAUCAGUAUCAAUUCAACUGGUUUGGUGGAGAACAGUUGCCUGCUUUCAGUGAAUCCCUUGAAAAUGAAUCAGAGGAGGAAACACUGAAAACUGAUGAUGAUGAUCGCCAAUCGCGUCGGAAUCAGUGCUAAGGAAGGUACUGGAAC